GCAUGGCUGCGAGGAUAUUACACAGCAUCUAAUGUCAGUUCUGCUUCUGAAUUUCAUGAAUGAGAAGCUGAUAGUAAAACUGAGCCAUUGC